GACCCAGUGGUGUAGUGGAAACAUACUUGUGUCCAAUAACAUGGACAGGAAUACGUUGGUGCAAGAGAUCCCUGUUCAAUUCAGGGUUGGGUCA